GUACUGGAGAAGUUCUUGAGAGUCCCUCAGACAGCAAGGAAAUCAAACCAGUCAAUCCUAAAGGAAAUCAACCCUGAAUAUUCACUGGAAGGACUGAAGCUGAAGCUUACCCAAUACCACCUGAUGCGAAGAGCUGACUCACUGGAAAAGACCUUGAUUCUGGGAAAGACUGAAGGCAAAGGAGAAGAGGGCAGCAGUGAAUGAGAUGGUUAGAUAGCAUCACUGAUUCUCAACGAACAUGAGUUUGAGCAAACUCCCGGAGAUAGGGAGGGACAGGGAAGCCUGGUGUGCUGCAGUCCAUGGGGUCACAAAGAAUCGGACACGACUGAUCAACUGAACAACAGCAAUAAGCUAGCUAACCUUCAUCUUGGGGAGCUGAUUCUACAAGAGGAAACAACUUUGGCGGAAUUCAAAGAGGGUGCUCAAGAUCCCCACACCUGGUAUAAACAUCCUGCAUGAUCCCCAGGGCUGGAAAGGAAGUUGGAAAAAAAAAAAGAAGAAGAAGAAGAAGGCCGAGAGCACUCAUUCACCCUACAAACCUUGAUCGUGUAUUGUAUUACACACCAUGCCGGUCUCUUCAUUAAGGAUCAUCAGCUCUGACUGCUUACAAGUUCAGGAUGUUUACUGCUUCUGCAUUGUCCAGUCUUCAACAAUUAUCAUGGAGAAGUGUGGAUUUCUCUGAUUCUUUGUUGGCCUCUUGCCCAGGCCUCUUGACUUCUUGUUGGCAUGUUAACCCACUUCCUCAAAUGUGUACUGUCUUUUAUUUCAAAAAUUUCCCCUUGACUAAGCUUGCAGUUAUCUAGUUACACUUCCUCUAAUGCAGGGAAGCUCAUCUUUUUCAAGGGUGGGACUUGAGCAAAAACUCAACUGCCGCAAGAACAAAUAACCUACUGAGUUCACUGUUCUCGAGCACGAGGAUGGAUAAUUCAGAAUGUUUUCAAGCCCUUCUUUCUGAUGGGGCACGAUAUUCAGUUUUGCAAUUAGGCACCAAUCUGUGUCAGAGGGGCAGGCGCUUCAAGGUCCAGGAAACAGGUCCCAGGUCUGCCAACAACCAAUUAGAUAAACUUGGGUAAACCUCUGCCUGAAGCCCAAGAAGUGCUUGCUAAGCAUGAGUGACCAUUAAUUACAGCACAACAAAAUACAUCAUACAGCAAUGAACCAAAAUUUGGCAAGUCGCACCAUGUCACAUGGAUGAGCUAAGAUAAGCAGUUAUUGAGCUAAGCAGUGAUGCAUGUGUGGUUCUUCAGACAAUUUAUGGUUGCAGAAUAUCUAGAAGAUUCUAGAAUUGUGUGCCUCAAAUACAGUAUCUUUUUUUCAAAAGUCGUCUGUUAUGAAAUAAGAGAUGCUGAUGCUGACUUGAAACCAAAUCAACCUUCCCGCCCCCUCAGGCUUCUCCAUCACAAUAAAUAGCAACUCCUUUCUCCCAUUUUUCGAGGCCAAAGAAUUUGUGCUGCUUUUGACUCCUGGCUUACAUUCUAUCUGCUGGGAGAUUCCACUAAAACAUCUCAAAUCUGACUACUUUCACACACUCUUCGAUUACCACCUCAUCUUAGCCACCAUCAUCUCCUGGAAAGUGAUUGCAUUGUUUCCUGGCUGAUCUUCCUUCCUCCUCAGCCCUUGCCCGUCUUCCAUCAUUUUAGAGUGAGGACAAAAGAGGAAGUCACCAAUCUGCUACCCGGAGAAGGGCUUCCACCCAAAAUCAACCCUGCCUGAUCUCAGACUUCCAGCCUCCAAAACCGUGAGAGAUAAAUUUCUGUCUAUAAGCCACCAGGCUGUGGUGCUGUGCUAUAUCAACCCAAACUGACUUUGAAAUUCUUAUUUUCAAUUGAAUGUCUCAAGAGGAAAAAUAAUUUUUAAAAGUUUAAAGGAAGUUAGUCAAGUAGACUAGCCUUCCGUGGGCUUAACUGUGUUUCUUCUCAUCCCCUGUAAAUGUUGACGUUGAAGUGGUAACACCCAGUAGCUCAGAAUGACUGUCUUUGGAGACAUGGUCUUUGAAGAGGUGACUGAGGUAAAGUAAAGUCAAUAUGGUAGGCCCUAAUCUCAUACAACUACUGUCUUCAUGACAAAAAAAAGACUGGGACACAUCUAAAAAAUACUUUCACAGAAACAUCUAGAACAGUGACCAAAUAUCUGGGUGGUGCAGCCAAGCCAGGCUGACACACAAAAUGAGCCAUUAAGUUGAAACAGAGCAGAAGACAAGGACCAUUACAGUCCUUGCCCUCCCCCACACCAGCACCGCCGUGCCCUCUGCCUGCCUCUUGUCUGUGGAAAACCUUAGUCAACGAAUAAGAUUAGUCAGAGAAAUGAGAACUGCAGAAUCAAAGAAAAAUAGUCAAAGGGGACUAAAUGAAAAUGUAGUCAUUAAGCGCAGUCAAGGACCUUUAGUUCCCUCUCAAGGGCUGCAGAUAAUAUUCUGCGCCACAUCCUGGGAGCUGUAUUACAGACACCAAAACACCAGGUGGGGAAGCUAACUACGUGACGACCAGACGGUACCCAGGAGACGAGCUGCCGCAAUUCCGAGAACUGAUCACAUCGUAAAGAAAUGGGGACAAGUGCACCCUGGAACUGAAGAUUAGCUGUACCUGAAACGGGCUGAUGCUGAACAAGGGUUCUUUUCCUGGCUGAAGAGUCAAAGGUGUGAGUCCCCACCAUGCACCUCAAUUGACUCAGACCUGGGGGACAAGGCUGGGUGUGGCCAGCCAGACCCAGACAUCUGUAAGGUGUGGGCAGAACUGAGAACCCUUAGCCUCCCACACCUGAAGUGACGACUCGCUCUAACUCACACAACAGGAUGGCAAACAGAAGCUUGGCAAGAGACAGGAAAUUGAAACCUCAAGGCCACCAGCAGCUCUGUGCCCCAGAAACCCACAUUUGAGCAAAAGAGACUAAGGACGCCAAGAGCACGUGGGCCGCGUUGUCCUCACUCUGGCUGGGCCUGCCUGAACUCACCCUCCUCACCAUCCCC
ensembl:lncRNA